GAUGAAGAACGUAGUGAAAUGCGAUACUUGGUGUGAAUUGCAGAAUCCCGUGAACCAUCGAGUCUUUGAACGCAAGUUGCGCCCGAAGCCAUUAGGCCGAGGGCACGCCUGCCUGGGCGUCACACGUCGUUGCCCCCCCAUCUACUCCUUCGGGAUUGCGGGGGGCGGAUGAUGGCCUCCCGUGCGCCUCGUCGCGCGGUUGGCAUAAAUGCCAAGUCCUCGGCGACGCACGCCACGACAAUCGGUGGUUGCGAAACCUCGGUUGCCCGUCGUGUGCGGUCGUCGCGCAUCGAGGGCUCGAAAAAAUUGCCGAGUUCCGGCUCGGCUUUCAACGCGACCCCAGGUCAGGCGGGGUUACCCGCUGAAUUUAAGCAUAUCAAUAAGCGGAGGA
rnacentral:misc_RNA from 1 species